GACGAACGCUGGCGGCNNGNUAAUACAUGCAAGUCGAGCGGACCUUUCGGGGUCAGCGGCGGACGGGUGAGUAACACGUGGGCAAUCUGCCCGAUACUCUGGGAUAACGCUUGGAAACGAGUGCUAAUACCGGAUGGUCUUCUUGGCCGCAUGGCCGAGAAGGAAAAGACGCGUUCGCGUCGGUGUCGGAUGAGCCCGCGGCGCAUUAGCUAGUUGGUGAGGUAACGGCCCACCAAGGCGACGAUGCGUAGCCGACCUGAGAGGGUGACCGGCCACACUGGGACUGAGACACGGCCCAGACUCCUACGGGAGGCAGCAGUAGGGAAUCUUCCACAAUGGGCGAAAGCCUGAUGGAGCAACGCCGCGUGAGUGAUGAAGGCCUUCGGGUUGUAAAACUCUGUCAUUCGGGACGAACCGGAGUCUGAGGAAAUGCAGACUCUCUGACGGUACCGGAGGAGGAAGCCCCGGCUAACUACGUGCCAGCAGCCGCGGUAAUACGUANGGGGCAAGCGUUGUCCGGAUUCACUGGGCGUAAAGCGCGCGCAGGCGGUGAUGUAAGUCUGANGUGAAAACCCGAAGCUCAACUUCGGGACUGCCUUGGAUACUGCGUCACUUGAGGAUAGGAGAGGCAAGGGGAAUUCCACGUGUAGCGGUGAAAUGCGUAGAGAUGUGGAGGAACACCUGUGGCGAAGGCGCCUUGCUGGCCUAUUUCUGACGCUGAGGCGCGAAAGCGUGGGGAGCAAACAGGAUUAGAUACCCUGGUAGUCCACGCUGUAAACGAUGAGUGCUAGGUGUAGGUGGGCUCAUACCCAUCUGUGCCGAAGCUAACGCAUUAAGCACUCCGCCUGGGGGAGUACGGUCGCAAGACUGAAACUCAAAGGAAUUGACGGGGGCCCGCACAAGCAGUGGAGCAUGUGGUUUAAUUCGAAGCAACGCGAAGAACCUUACCAGGACUUGACAUCCCAUAGACCAGUCUAGAGAUAGACUUUCCCUUCGGGGCUGUGGUGACAGGUGGUGCAUGGUUGUCGUCAGCUCGUGUCGUGAGAUGUUGGGUUAAGUCCCGCAACGAGCGCAACCCUUACUUUGUGUUGCCAGCAUUCAGUUGGGCACUCACAAGGGACUGCCGCCGAUAAGGCGGAGGAAGGUGGGGAUGACGUCAAAUCAUCAUGCCCCUUAUGUCCUGGGCUACACACGUGCUACAAUGGGCGGUACAACGGGAUGCGAAGCCGCGAGGUGGAGCCAAACCCUGAAAACCGUUCGUAGUUCGGAUUGUAGGCUGCAACUCGCCUACAUGAAGCCGGAAUUGCUAGUAAUCGCGGAUCAGCAUGCCGCGGUGAAUCCGUUCCCGGGCCUUGUACACACCGCCCGUCACACCACGAGAAUGGGCAACACCCGAAGUCGGUGGGGUAACCUUUACGGGAGCUAGCCGCCGAAGGUGGGGCCUGUGAUUGGGGUG
rnacentral:rRNA from 1 species